UACGGAGGGUGCAAGCGUUGCUCGGAAUCAUUGGGCGUAAAGCGUACGCAGGCUGUUCGUUAAGUCGGGUGUGAAAGCCCGGGGCUCAACCCCGGAACUGCGCCCGAAACUGGCGAGCUUGAGUGCGGCAGAGGGGGUAGAAUUCCACGUGUAGCAGUGAAAUGCGUAGAGAUGUGGAGGAACACCGAUGGCGAAGGCAGCCCCCUGGGUCAAGAUUGACGCUCAUGCACGAAAGCGUGGGGAGCAAACAGG
rnacentral:rRNA from 1 species